GUAUAUCAAAAACUAGGUAUAUAUUUUCCCGUAAUUAUGUUUUUUUUUCCCCCAUGUUUGCAGUAACAUUUCAUUGAGGUAUUUGUCCGAACGGAAGUAAAUGUGACGAAGUCUGUUGCCGAUUGAAAAAAAAAAAAGAUCUAAUCUCGGAAGAAUGAAAGUAGAUAUUUCAAUCGCUGUGAUUUAAAAUUGCAUCUGUUUUAAACAUUAAUAAUUUUUCUUUAAAAUAA